AGUGGUGCCAUUGUAAGAAUGGUUGAAUUCUUGUCUUCUCUCUCUGGAAAACUUUAUUAUAAUUUUUUUAAGUUUUAAAAACUGUUUUAACAUUCUUAUGCACUAAUAGCUCUUAGGUUUCAUAGAAUUUGAUUGACCAAUAAUUUUAAUAAAAAAAAAAGUUUAGUUCAUUAUGCCUAUUCCAUUCUCCUAGCAUUUAGUUCCCUCAUGUUUCUUCCUUUUUUUUUCCAUUUGAUUUGAGCACCACUUGAGCUAAGCCUUAGUAGUAGUAGUGGCUAUGUUUUCAACACUCCAUUUUCCUUCCAUGUUUUCCCUGGCUGAUUUUGAGUAAAAGAUUUUUGUGUGGUGAUUAUGCUAGUAUGUUUUCAAAGAUGCGUGUUUUCUCCCAGCUCAUGUGCAUGGUAACCUUUGAUGAUGCAGGGAGGUAGCAGAUUUUGCUUGCAGAAUAAAUUCUGACUGGACAGAGAGGAUGCAAGAUUUUUUAACAUCCGGGAGAGAGAGGACAUCAAUGUUUUCUGCUACCAAUGGGAAUGGUUAUCUAAGGUGACAUGCGUGACUGGACUCAGAAUGGAAAUGAAUCCUUUCAAGUGCACCUCAGAUGGCUGAUAUGGCUAGAAUAAUUUUGAGAGAUUCUGACAAGCACAAAAAAAAAGUGUGUUGCAUGUCAGUGGUUUUUCUUUUUCUUUUUUCCCAACCUUGUUUUUGUUUUACUCUAUUCUUUACAGUUCAUUUUUGGUGCUUGACCCUGGUGCCAUUUAAUUCUCUGGGGCCAGUCCCUUGUACUUUUAGGUAACAAAUAAUGGAAAAAAAAUUUCCUUGUUUGUAUGCUACCAUUUUUUAAAAUUACUAU